UACACCCUUUCAGUUAUUAACUGAUUAUAAUUACCUCCCCUGAAUGACGUCAUCCGGGGAUACCCGAUUAUCGACUGUAAGCAAACAAAGAGAUGUCUGUUUGACAAUGUGUGUUUUCAACGGUGUAAAUGGACUUAAAAUAUGAACGAAAAGAUUAAUGACCACGACUAUGCUGUCCAGUUUUACACAGCAACACCAGUAUUCGACUCAAAACCGGAUGGAAAACAGAUUCAAGACAUUACCAUAUCACUCGAGAAGAAGUCAAAGUCCGACAGGAUCUGCUGUGUGCCCAAAUGUCACACCACUGGCUACGGAUUGUUAGAAGGCCAUGGAAAGCCCAGCUAUCAUGCAUUUCCAGCUGAGUGAAGAUGAUCCAGUUCAAGCUGUUUGGUUGAAUAAAAUACGAAGAGAUGAAGACAGACAUUUUAAGAUAAGUCACAAUACGGUUGUCUGUUUUCUCCAUUUUGAACGUGACUGUCUUGAUGAAUUUGGAUUUGCUAAGCGGAGGUAUCUAAAACCAGGAGCCAUCCCUACACUAUUCGACUGCUGGAAGGACAAACCGCAUCUGUUGAAGCGAAUUCACGUGGAACGUGCAAUUAACAAAAUUAAAAGUUUUCACAUAUUUGAUCAGGUCAUUCCGGUUUCUCUGUUUGGGACAAUUAAUCAAAUUUGGACAGUUUGCUCAUUGCUCACUCUUUUCCAAGACCCAAUUAUAUCAUGUCCUGGUGUUUAACAUACAUACCAUUUAUAUGAACAUAUGUUGUUCGUGUACAUCAUACUACAUGUAGGUUAAUGAAAUACCAUUGGCUGUUCAUGUAAUAUUUGUACAUUUUUUGGCUUUGUAUAAAGUUUUUGAUAAUUAUCGUGAUAUAAGCAUUGAUUUAGUUACAGAUUAAUGCUUAAAGAGUACUUAAAGCUACACACCUUGAAAUAAAGUAAAGUAACUUUUUAAAGCGCAAAAAAGAUGGCUUUCUACCUUGUUACCACCAGAUAUAUUCUAGUUGGCAUAAUAAAAUUAAAUCUAUAGCCUAGUUUAAUAGCAAGUUAUUUAUAUUUUUUUUCAAACAAUACUGCUUUUAAAACCGAAAGUAGGAUUUCCAGACGUACACAUCCAUUUCGACAAACGCGAUUAUUUUUAAGUUGUAAAGUGCAAAAAAGAUGGAUUUCUACGGCUUGUAACCACCAGAUAUAUUCUAAUUGACAUAGAUAAAAUAUGUCAUUCAUACUUAAAUUUACUAUGCCAAAUAAGGUGUGUGGCUUUUACAUAAAAAUUGUAUAUACAUCUUUUUAAUCAUGUUUGUUAAUUUGUUUUGAUUGUAUGACUACUGAAUAAAUAAUUUUGUUAAUAGAAA